rnacentral:rRNA from 1 species
GUGCAGCAGUCGCGAAACCUCCGCAAUACACGAAAGUGUGACGGGGCCAUCCCGAGUGCCGUCCGCUGAGGACGGCUUUUCCCCAGUGUACAUAGCUGGGGGAAUAAGGAGAGGGCAAGCCUGGUGUCAGCCGCCGCGGUAAUACCAGCUCUCCGAGUGGUGGGGACGCUUAUUGGGCCUAAAGCAUCCGUAGCCGGCUUGGCAAGUCCUCCGUUAAAAUCCAAUGAUUCAAUCGUUGGGCUGCGGGGAUACUGUCCAGCUUGGGGGCGGGAGAGGCCGACGGUAUUCCCGGGGUAGGGGUGAAAAUCCUAUAAUCCCGGGAGGACCACCAGUGGCGAAGGCUGUCGGCUAGAACGCGCCCGACGGUGAGGGAUG